rnacentral:lncRNA from 1 species
AAACAGGAAGGGCCCCCUUUUCCCCUCUGCUCCUGCUCUAGCUGCAGAAUGUGAUCCACCAGCAAGGAGGGACGCCAAUAAGGCGUCCGAGUGGGAAAUUAAAGACCUACGUAGAAAAGUUUUCUGAAUUGAUUCUGAAAACAAUAUUGAGACUUCUUCAAUCAACAGGAAUAGACCCAGCAGAAAUUGUGGUACCUUUUACCAAUGCUGAAAUUGCAUCAUUAUGGGCAGAAAAUGAACAUUGGCAAAGAGCUUGCAGAGAUUUGGGGGGAGAGAGUAGCAACAAAUAUCCCAAAAACAAGAGACUUCAGUUUAUAAAAAGGACUAAUUGAUUCCUUCCUCGCAUAGUAUGAGGAACACCAAUUUCUAGAGCUCCUACAUUCUAUACUGAUGUGAAUAAAUCAGCAAAGGCAGG